rnacentral:misc_RNA from 1 species
GUGAAGAUCAAUUGUUCGCACUGUACUAGCAAAAAACCGUAGAGAAACCCGUUCUGUUUCCGAGCAACUGCAGUUUAGCCCGCACUGGAUCCCCAUUCAUCAGAACGCCCGCAAAAAUGGCAAUAUCGACCCUCCAGAGACUCUCCUCCCAACUCCACAGCCUUCAAUCUCUGUCUCUUUUCACCAAAUCUGUCCUCGUCCGCUCCUCCGCCUCCACUGCCUCCGCCACCGCCACCGCCUCCGCCUCCGCCUCGUCCUCUGCCAAAGUCGCCGACAGAAUCGUUAAGCUCUCCGCUAUCGACCUUGACGGUAAAAAGCGGGAGGUCGUGGGCCUCUCCGGCCAGACUCUCCUCAAGGCUUUGACCAACGGCGGUCUUAUCGAUCCUGCCUCCCACCGCCUCGAGGAGAUCGACGCUUGCUCCGCUGAGUGCGAGGUCAGCAUCGCCCAGGAGUGGCUCGAUAAGCUGCCACCGAGAUCUUAUGAUGAGGAGUAUGUUUUGAAGAGGAAUUCUAGAGCUAGGGUUUUGAACAAGCACGCCAGGUUGGGAUGCCAGGUAGUCCUCACGCCAGACCUUCAAGGUAUGGUUGUUGCGAUCCCCGAGCCAAAACCCUGGGAUAUCCCCUAAAACGAGUAUGAGUUUAGGGUUUUGUUUUUGAUUUUGCUUUACCAUGCUGUUUGGAAUUGAAUAUUUAAUAAUGUGCACACAUCAAAUGGAUUUAUGUUUCCUGAAAUGUGGGAUUUGUGUAAGAUCACCCUUGAAUUGGGUAUGCUGGAACUUAAUUCUGAUGUUUUGGUUGUAUGCUGGAACUUAAUUCUGAUGUUUUGGUU